UUUGCCAAGGUUAUAUGCUGAUGCAAACACUGGAUGCUUCAAUGUCAUAGAAAUUUAUAUGUUUUUAACACGUACCUGACUCUCAGUAAUAGGAAAAUUAACACCAGGAUUUCUUCUUCUCGAACUAAGGCCACUGUCAGCAGAAAACUAGAAACAAAAAUAAGGUAUCUACUUAUUUGGAAAAAAAAUAUCUGAGCUAAGCUAAAGACAUGUUACUAUUUUACUAAUAGUAAUAAAAUAAUUAUACUACAGAGGGAUACAAAACUGCAUCGAUUGAACUGCUGGCAAUCUUCAGAACAAUUGAAAUAUCAUUCAAGCUGCAGCUAAUAAUUUCAGCAAUUGUGGAAAUUGUUGUUUUUGUGUUGUGUGAUUUUUUCUUCAAUAUUUGUAAAUCAGUCAAUUCAACAGCUAUGCAUAAAUGAAAAUGUAAUACAGAAGAAAAAUAUCGUAGUAUCGAUAAUCUAAUACAAGUAGCUGGUGAACCGAGGAAUGCAUAUACUACCUUAUUCAGAAUACAAAAUCUAUCUCAUACUCAUACGACCAGCCAUAGUUGAACUGCGUAACUAAUAAUAGUACAGGUGGUGACAACGAAAAUAGAUAUUUAAAUAUUUGAAAUAAAGAAAAACAGAAGAAAAUGAUUGCUGAAUUCCGGUCAACAGCCUCUGCCUUCAUGGAAAUCUUCAAACACAAAGUACAUCAGCCCUACAUCAAAACUAUAACAAUAUAUGAAAUGAUCAACAAAAUGUUUUGAAAUUCAAAUUCAUCUCAACUACAUACGUGAAGUAAUGCCUAAUAGAAGGCCAAUAAAAACGAAACAUGGCGGAAUUCGACAACUUUUAUCAAUUUUACCAACUGGACCAAGAUUAAAUAGCCAUUAUGACAAGAUGCUCACUAUCCGAAGAAAGCGCGUAAGACAAAUCAAACGAAAUAAAUGAAACAUCGACGUCGAAAUCGUCAGCAUUACACUCUACCACAUAAUACAAAUGUAAACCAUUGAAAUGAAGAUCAGCCAGAUGGACAUGAAAGGCAUCGUACCAGAACAGAAUACAUUUCUAUUUUAUUUUUUGUGUUUUGGUGAAAUAAAUAUUCAAGAAAUUAAAAAAGUUAGAAAACUUUGUAGUUUUAUUGAUGUUUUCAU